rnacentral:rRNA from 1 species
GACGAACGCUGGCGGCGUGCCUAAUACAUGCAAGUCGAACGCUGAAGGAGGAGCUUGCUUCUCUGGAUGAGUUGCGAACGGGUGAGUAACGCGUAGGUAACCUGCCUGGUAGCGGGGGAUAACUAUUGGAAACGAUAGCUAAUACCGCAUAAUAGUAGAUGUUGCAUGACAUUUGCUUAAAAGGUGCAAUUGCAUCACUACCAGAUGGACCUGCGUUGUAUUAGCUAGUUGGUGGGGUAACGGCUCACCAAGGCGACGAUACAUAGCCGACCUGAGAGGGGGAUCGGCCACACUGGGACUGAGACACGGCCCAGACUCCUACGGGAGGCAGCAGUAGGGAAUCUUCGGCAAUGGACGGAAGUCUGACCGAGCAACGCCGCGUGAGUGAAGAAGGUUUUCGGAUCGUAAAGCUCUGUUGUAAGAGAAGAACGAGUGUGAGAGUGGAAAGUUCACACUGUGACGGUAUCUUACCAGAAAGGGACGGCUAACUACGUG